ACUAAACCUAGAAGGCCAUGUAAGUCCAGAGUGACUUAGGUACUGGCCUUAUUGAGUCAAUCCUGACUCACAGUGACCAGGCAUGGCAUCUGGGAGGCCCAUCCGGGGUCACAGUGUACUGACACUGAACCUGGAGGCCACCAAGUUUGAAAGUGAACUGGCAAGGGAUUGAGAGAACUUGGAGGUCCACAGUGAGCUGCCACUGGACCUGAGAGGAUGACGUCGUAGCAAGGAUAUAUUUCAGGAGAGCAAAACAAGAAGAGCAAACGUGAAAAGAAGAAAUGGAUGAUCGUCAGCCUUCCUGACCUGAGCACGUCUUCUGUGAGGCAAAGAGGAGAGCUAAGGGCGGGAGGAAGGAAGAUUACAGACUCUUAUCUUUAUGCCACUUGGGAUAAUGGUUUCUUUUCUCAAGAAACUAUCUCAGAAGUAGAACAGCAGGUUAUGAAGAAUGUGAGGGAGGAAAUAUGGUUUAGAGAAAAGCAUAGUCCCCAGAGAAAUAGAGGCACAACGUGGGCGGGUGAGUAAGCCAUGCCGAGUGCUAGAUGAUUCAGUGUUGGGAGCGAUCGCCCUUGCAGGUCUGGGGGUUCUUGAGGUGGUGUGCUGUUCUGGAGGCCUAAUUACCACUGUAGGUCCUGACGUAACCACUGUGCGGUAGUUUAGCUUUCCCGGCUGAAUGUAAGCCUUAGAGAAUAAUGAUGCUAGUUUCUCUUCACCUGCCAACCCACCCGCCAGAUUCCACCGUGUGCCUUCUUCUUUCUUUUAAUCUCUGAUUCUCAAUAGAAAUUAAGUCGGUCAUGUGAUUUUAUCGAUGAUUCGUUCGAAUCUUAAGUUUUCAGAGUGAAACUGAAGUUAGAUCUCCAUUGGAAAUUUUUUUAUGAGGUUUGGUCUUUUUUUUUUUUUAAGAAAUAUGAAAAGACUUACACAAACUUUGGUUUUAGGCUACAUUUAAUGUUAGGCUGGAGGUGUAGUUCAGUGGCAGAUCGCUUGUGUAGCAAGUGUCCAUUCUGUGUGUGUUGAGCGUUGAAAAAAGUGCAUUUAACAUGAUUUGAUUUUAAGAAUUCUGUGCUGGUUUUGUUUUUGUGUAGAACAUUUCCCCCAACUCCCCUAACCCCUUGCUCUGUUUUGUCAUUGGAUCUUAGUCCACCAGAGUGAUGAGCUGGGAAUCGAAUGUGGAUGGUUUCUCCUGGAAGAGAAAGUUGAAAAUGGAACCCCAAAAACAAGAAGAAAAAACCCAGGAGGAACAUAUAUAUCAUGGGAGUCUCUAAAAAAAGCAGCCUCCAUUACCCUGCAAUUAUUAACUUAAUUUUGGAACCAGAAAGGCUUGUGAUUAUCAAAUAUCUGCCUUUGAGAUCAGAUGUUUUGAAGAUCAUUUCUAAUAGAGGAGUUUGCCACUUUUUUCUUAAAGAUAUAUCUUUUGGCCUCACAUUAACUUAGAGCAUCUGAGAGGACCUAGGGAAAGAAGUCUGUUGUUGAAGAUUAUAUUUAUAGUCCUUGAUGAACUGAAUACAUUUACAAGCUGCAUUUUGAAAUCAUAAUAAUCUCAUGUGAAGCAAUCAAAAUUCCAAAAUCAUCUAAUCAAGAAUGACAUCAGAGGCAAACAAUCCGUAGAUGGAGUAGGUAUAAUUCCCCCCGUAAAGCUUCCAUUUAGCACAGAUGUUCUGAUUCCGUGGAUUAAGUCAAGAAGUGUUGAGUUAAGUUGCCCUAAAGACAGUUUCUUGGAAAGGUGAAGCAACAUGAACUCACAUUUCCUAAGUAAAAAAAGAGGUGGCCAAUCCUAUUCCAUUCCUCUCCCCAAAAUCUCUUUGCCACACUUCCCCAGUCAACAGAGGAAAACUUGGCUGCUACAUAGAGCGGGAAGGUCAUUGCCAAGGCAGUUACUUUCAGAGAUUUGCCUUGAGGUUAUCUGAGUCCUGCGGGAGUGUGUGUAUUCCUUCUUUCUCUGGAAGAUUCUGUCUGAUUUCUCACCUGCUAACCCCUCCUUUCCUAUAGGAUGGAGAUUGAGAACCAAAGAGAACAGCAGGGAACUCCAGAAGCCUUUUAGUUCUAAACAUAUUUUGGUUCAUUGAUCCAGACAUAUGGAUUUAGAAAUACAAGAUCUGUGUGUUUUAUGUCUGCCUUGAAUCUCACCGUGCUGACAUCUUGAUCGGGGUGACCUUUGAUGCUAAGUGGGUAGAGAUAGGAUAUAUUGACAUGGCCCCAGUUGUGACAACAUUUGGGCUCUGGCCCCUGAUCCAGAAACAGAGCUGUCGGCUCCCAAGGUCUGUUGUUAACAGUUUACGUGGCGUCGUCAGAACUGCAUUCAUUCUUUACCGUUUUCUUAUUGCCUUUAUAAUAAAUAUUUACAGAUUUAUUGCAUACUUAUUUUCCAAAUGGAUAGACAUUUUUAGAAAUGACAUUUCUGAAAGUGCAGAAGCUAUCUGGCACAUAUACAGUGCAUCGUACCAUGUGUUCUCUGACAAGAGCAUCAUGGAGACUGUCUCCCUCGUUCAUCUGAUGGAACCGUAUAGCAAUCGGUUGCGUCACGUUUAUGGCCGCAUUCUUCUCCUCUACGCCUUUUAUCUUUACAUCUGACACAGGGAAAAUGGCAAGAUUUUCUUUAUUCUCUAGUGAACUAAUCCGGAAAAGCCGUACCAAUGUCUCUCUCCUUUCUAAGUAGAGUGUAGGAGUCCCAAUAUUAGACAGCUCCACUUGUCUGCUAGAGAAUUUAUUGGAACUCACGAUGUCAACAGAUCGAGUCCUUUCUUUAAGGUGGGAGCUGGGUGAACAACAGCAACCAAAUUCGUGUAAGGAGUCCUAAUGCUUACGCUAUAAAAUUAUUCAAAAAUCAAACUGUCCUGAUAUUUGUCAAAAGGACCCUACCACAAAGGAAUUUUCUGUACUGUUUGGGUGGCACAGCAUCAGGUAACCAGUAGGUUGGUGAUUUUCUCUGACAAAACUAUGGGAUGAUUUUAAUGCUUGCUACAAAAGACACACUGUGAUGCUCUUGGAAUCUUAGCAUGGCAGGACAGAAAAGAGGGCAAAAAUCUAUCGUUCUCUUAUUGUCUUGAUUUUGAAAGAUCCCAGUGUUUUGCUGUGGAGUGUUAUUUUUUUAUUAAUAGUUCAAGAUUUAAAACAAUGGCUAUAAAAACAUACUGAAAAGCAGAGUGGUAUACAGCAGCCCCAGGUGACAUAGAUUCUGCUGGAAGAUAGAUCUGGGCACUUUCGAUUACGACCACGGUGUCAGUGUUUGCAACUGUUGAGUCUCGGUCUGACGAAAAGUGGUGCCAGAGACUUAGCUUAUGGUGAUUCCUGAUAUAUUUUCUCCUCCAAAGAGUCCUCAAUGGCAGGCAGACUUGACCAAAAUGGAGGAGGAAGAUUACAAACAGAACGUGUGUGUGUGUGUGUUUAUGUAAAAACUGCAGCUAGGAUUGAGGAGGGGGUGUUUUAAGGAAGAAGAUUUUGAUUAGUUGUAAGAAAAACAUUCAAAUCACAGAACUCUUUAACAAUUCAUUGGCUUGUGAGAGGUAGGGAAUCCUGCUUGUCAAAUGUGUUCACACAGACCGACUCAUUCUUCUGCCUUGUGUUCACUAGUGGCUUAGGUGUCUCGACCAAAGAAAACCUUUGAAAAAUGAGUGCUCCUUCAACUUAUUCUGCACAGUCCCAUCAAAGUAGGAUUUCGAAAAUUUGUAAUUGGGGAUAUUUGGGCUGAGGUCUUUCAUUCCACAGCAUCCAUUUGUAAUUUUAAGAACAAUAUACAUAACAUUACAGGGAGAAUCUAAAGACCUUAAAAUACCCUACUCUCCUUGAAUGCUGGAGAGGCACUGGGAAUUUAUAAAAACGACAUGCUCCUUAUAAAUUAUUGGUCUCCAUCAGACAGUACCUUUCAGUCUGAGCUCGAAUCUGUAAAGCUAUUUCAAUAUAAAUGUUUUUUCCUCAUAAAAUGAGACUAGGUUAGCAGGACUAAUUUUUUUCUCUACCCUUGUUAGAUGAUAUACUUUUAGAAGAGAGAACUACAACGCAAGCAAACACAAAGCAGGAAUGUGCUGAAGAUUUUACUUAACUUGCUGAGGGAGAGCCAAGACAGCGCGUAACUUUCUCUAAGUUACAAGAUAGAUGUACCAGCCAUUAGGAAAAUGCUAUCAAAUCAUUCCUGUAGCCUGGCUCUUCAUAGAGGACAGGUCAACAAAACCUAUACCGGACCAUUUUGCAUUUCUAUGGAGAGGGAAAGGUCCCUGGCUAGGAAGAUUACACAAACUCAGUGCUAUUCCACCAGGGCUGGAAAAGAAGCCUAAUUACAGAGGAUGCUUUGCUGUUUUUAAAAGAUUCAUUUAUUCAUUUGUGUAUUCUUGUGGUUUUUUGGAAAGAAUAAAAAUUGUCAAGAGGGAGGCAAGGGAAGAUGAUUGGUUGAGAGCUGGACCUUCUGGGAUUAGACACUUGACCCCCUAAGACUUAGAAAGUAGAGCCAGGAGGAGCAAUGAAAGCAAAUAGCUAGCCUCAGCUACAUAGCAAAGUUCAGGGCUAGCCUAGGCUAUAUGAUACAGUGAUAGUGAAUGGCUUUGAAAAGCCACCGUUAACGUUCCUCAGAUCUUCAAUACCCUGAGUUUCUCUAUUAUUUUUUUAGGUCAGCUUUUGAGUACAUUUUGAUCCCUUGAUUUUGAAGAGUCCCGUGGCUAGGCAGGGGAGAAAGAGAAAGGGUGGUCUUUCUCGUCUAAGCUUAUGUUCAAAUUUAAUCCUGAUCCCAAACUAUUUUUAUCGGGUAAUGGUAUUGCCAAAUAUCCUAAAGGAAUGCAGAUUUCAUAAGCAGUUGAGGAAUCCAAUGCCAUCAAUGAGGAUCACUAACUCGUACGAGACUAGGAGAAGGCCGGAGUGUGCUGUGAAAGGCGCAUUUUUUAAAAACCCGAAGAGAAAUAGAUGAAGGAUGACAAACUGUAGACUCUGAUGUUUCACAGCAGCCAAUUUCUUACUUCAUUAAUGAAUUUCUUACAACCCGGGAAGUGAAAGUAUCGUCGUCUUCCCUGUUACUGUUGGCUGAACUGAGACAGGAAGUAAGAAUACAGUUGCUAAGGUCACAGAGCUGCAAGGGAGCAGGCCAGUGUGUGGACCCCAUUGUCUGCCAUGGGACACUGACGGCCUUGUAAAUCUACAAAAUCAAAGACAAAAGAAAGGAGAAAAACAACAACAACAACAACAACAACAACAGCAACAACAGCAACAACAAAACCCUCCCUCCAACCCUGCCACCUCAAUAUUCAGGAAAGGAGCAAAGAUCAAAUCUCCCGGUGCAGUCACUUGAAUGAACAGAAUCCUUUGUGGUCCUAAGACAGCUUGGCACUGAACGAGGGCACAGACACUUGGCUCCUGCUCCUAUCUCAGCCUCUCUCUCUCUCUCUCUCCCUCUCUCUCUCUCUCUCUCUCUCUCUCUCUUUCUCUCUCUCUCUCUUUGUUGCAAGUUGAUUGCCGCGGUGACAUCGCGAAGGAAAACGCGCUCUUCUGUUACGAGUUGCUUUCCUCGAGCUUGUCAUGCCACGGGACUCUUUCAUCUUUCCCCCUCAUGAUAAUAUGUGGUCUCCGCUAGGACUCCUGUGGUUUGACAUCAGCCUAUACCAGAGAUUGUGGCAGCUUUUGUUUUCUUCAAAAGCUAGCCGCUCUGAGGAAUGGCUUGAGAGAACAGGCGCCGUUGGUUUGACUCCAGCAAUGCAGUCAACUGUAACUAAUACUGUGUUAUUAGCACGGGGUGAAAUUUUCAACUUUCAGUAUCUUGAUGAAACAUAGACAAUAAAAAUUGCUCAGUGACUUUUUCUAACCUUUCUAACCUGUAUUUUACUCCCCGAGACCACGCUCCACUUUGCAUUCAUAGACAAUGAGCCAGGAAACCUGAAAGGGUGCCACUCACGGCUAAGGACAGCUUCACCUAAAAGAAACAGCUACCGGUGCCAAACCUGUCUCCAGAAGUCUUGCAUUUUCCAGGUACUAGAAUGUGCAUCUCCACACCAGAUCAAGACCGUCCAGCCUCCAGUGGAGGUGGGGGCGAGAAUCGUCAUUUAAAAGUUCUGAAAAACUGUGGUCAAGUCCCCAAGUGUGACAGAAAACAUUUUCUGCAUCCCCGUGGAUAUUUAAUUAAUCUAAUUGUUUUGAAAUGCUCCCUUCUAAAAUACAGUAGGACGAAAACAAUACAAUGUAUUAAAAUCACAGUGGUCUUAGUCAAGGGCCAUUAACGUUGCCAGUACAUAAAUCUAUACACACAUAUCUUUGGGGUUUUUCUAGCUUUUCUCUCCUUUGGGCAUUUGGGAACGCUUGGAAUAUAGCCUACGACUUUGAAAUGCAUUUUCUGGCUGUCAGGAGUUGAGAAAUCAGGGACAUGGUCAGUUUGUAUUUUGUAAGAAAGAACCAAAUGCAGUUCAUUGCCUUCUUUCAGUGAGAAUCUGUAGGAUUAUGGGUUCUGCACCCACUCUGCCACAGGGCAAGGCCUCUUGGGGAGGCCUGACUGGGAAGGUGCUUAUCUCACUCUGUCACCAAGCAGGCAUCAGGCUGUAAGGAAGCCUAGGGUGGGGAAAGAGUCUGAGUUAAAGGACAGCCAGAGCUAGCUCAGGGGUCCUGUGCUUGCAAGAAGGCUGGGGCUGUCUGGUUCUCAAGUUCUUGGGCAUCCAGGCACCUCUGGGAGCUGCAGAAGAGCUGAGAAUGGAGUUGUGGUGUGCGGACUGGAUCUAGUCCAGGGCUGAAGGAAAAGGGGGAAGAACUCUGGCUAGUCCCUUGGGGGAAGAGUCCUUGACUUGUGGGCGGUUGGCUUGGGAUUGGGCUUGGUAGCCAGCGAGGCUGGCAGCACAGAGAGGCCUUCUAUAGGGAUUAGAUGGUGGCUCUGUAGGUGAAGGCCUUCUCUAUGGCUCCCCACAGCAGAUCCCGAUGAAAAGAGGUGUUCCAUGGUUUUGAGGUAUUUUUUGUCAUGGCAUAAGGUAGAUGAGUAAAAUCAUAUCCCACUUUUCAAGGUGGGCCUGAGGUUAAAUAGCUUUUGCAGGGAAGAGUGUCUGGGAAGGAAAGCUUAUUGGUUAAGCCUCCAGGCCUUUGGGUACCUCAUUAAAAUGGAGAUCUGUCUUGAGCCUACUUGACCACAGGUCAUGCUUGGGGGGUUGCCUUUAUGUGACUGAUGGCCACAGGGUCCUGGUGCCUGGGAAUCAGGUGAAACUCCUACUAUCCCUUCAGGGUCUCCAGGGUUUCCAGCCUUAGCUCAAUUGGGAACCAGGCUGCUGUUCACCGUUCCACAGAAAUACUUUAGUGGAAAGAGAGCAAGUGUGGAGCUAAGGUUGGGAAGGGUCCUUACUGUUGGGCUCCCAGAGGCUCUUUCCCUAAGCACCGCUGCAAUGGUGCACAGUCCAAAUUUCUCCUGGAAUUCUUUGUUUCUAACUUAGCAGCCACCUCCAUCCCUGGCGGCAGGCACUGCAGACUGCAGCAGGGGCACGCAUUGGAGGUUGGCAGGAGAAGGCUUGGGUCGACGAGUAGAUGACGGAGCAGGUCCUUGGGGCCAGUGGGGAGGUUGUGUGCUGUCUGUAAAGCCUGAAGAACUGAGUGUUAGGAACAGAAGCUACUGUCCUCACACAUUCUCAGACCCAGAGCAUAAAAUCAGUUAUCAUUAAGCUGUUGGGGCUUACUUGUCUCUCUCUCUCUCAAGCUUUUUUCUUUAAUUUAAUUUUAUUUUUUAGUUCCAAGGCCUGCUCCUCAAAAUAUUACAUGUCAGACUAGUAAGAUUGAGAAUAAAAGUAGAAUUGAUCUGUUUGAGUGGGGCGGACCACAGCCUCAUUCCUCCUCCUCUGCUCUUCCCUUAUGGUAUGACAGCCUCUCUCUCUCUCUCUCUCUCUCUCUCUCUCUCUCUCUCUCUCUCCCCCUCUCCUUCUCCCUCUCCCUCUCCCGUGUGUGUGUGUGUGUGUGUGUGUGUGUGUGUGUGUGUAUGUGUGUAUGUGGUAUAAUACUUGUGUAAGAAACAUAAAACUAUGUAGGUUUAUGUAAGAGAAGUCUGGGCAAGACAGAAAGAGGAAGGGGGUUGUAUAGAAAGAAGAAGGGAGACAGAUGUGAGACAGGCAGUUGGGAAGAUCCACAUCCUCUGCAACCCUAGAGGGAAAAUGUGUUCCAGAGGAGAAUGGCGUGCGUAAUUUAAGAAGAAACAAAGCAACAUACACGCGCGCGCACACACACACUCUCACAGAGAGAGAGAGAGAGAGAGAGAGAGAGAGAGAGAGAGAGAACGAAUAUGCUGGUGUGUUAGAAGCAUCUAUUUAGGCAACAUGUUGCUUCCCCUUUCCUGACGUGUGGCUGGAUUCAUCAUUAUCUAACAGCAGGUGAGAAGGUUAAACUGUGAGAAAGCGAAGUCUGAGUAGGGAUCCUGGGCUGGAGGGGAAGCAGGGCCUGUGUGUGGAAGGAGAUGAUGGAGAAGAAGCCUAGAAAAAGAGUCUGAGGAUCUAGGUGCUGAGGGGAAGGACAAAGAAGGCAGAGAGGGGGAGGAGCAAGGGCAGCCAAGGGCAAUGUCAGAGAGGCAGUGUGGAGAAGAGCUUCAAGCUUUGAACACCGGGCUGGGCUCUUAGGAUGAAAGGAAAUGUGCCUGACAAGGAGAAAGGGCAGGGAGAUGAAAGCCCUGAAUUCUGUGUGCAGGUUGCUCACACUUGGCUCUAAACCACCUACCUUAAUUUUGGUUUUGUUCAGUAAUUCAACAAUUCACCGCUCUAGUUACUGUCAGACAGUGUGAAGGAUUAUAGAGCACCCAUGCGCAAGCUGAGAGAGUGAUGCUUCAGAGUUUUUAUUGUUGGCAUUUGGAAUGAAUUUGGCUGUCAUUCAGCACUGUCAUCCUUGGUAGAAAACCCCUGAUGCUCUCUCUCUUGAUCUAGAGAUUUGGGAUAGGUUAAUGAAGUUAUGGGGAGAUGAGUGGUUCUUUUCUUUAGUAAAUUUAAGAACUCUGUGUGCUUUACACACACACACACACACACACACACACACACACACACACACACACAUUCUCUCUCUCUCUCUCUCUCUCUCUCUCUCUCUCUCUCUCUCUCUCUUUCUCCUUUCCUCCCUCCAUGUGGUGGGUCAUGAACGAAUGCUUGAAAGAAACCUCUUUGGUUCAUUGUUGGCUUCAACUCUAUCACUUGAAAAGAUCUGUAUUUUCCUUGUGUUUGACUUAGCUAGGACCAUCAUCACAAAACACCAGAGACUGAUGUCAACCCAGAAAUCUGUGUCCUCACAGUAUUGAAACUGAAAGUCCCAGAUAAAAAUUGGGCAGAAGUGGUUUCUGCUAAGAUCUUUCCUUUCGUCUAUAAGACCACGGUUCUACUGGAUUACCCCACCUUUUAUGAUCCAGUUUAACUUCAAUUAACUCUUAAAGACCCUGUCUCCAAAUAACAGCCACGGGAGGCUUGGCACUUUACUGUGUAAUGAAUUUCAAGAAGAUGUCACUCAGCUUACAACGGUAUCUUUGUGUAGGCUAGAAGUUCUCCGUUUUACUAGGGAUACAUUUUAAUUAGAUUCUUAUUUGUUUAAAAGGUUUUAUUUUUAUCUUAAUUGUGUGUAUGCCUGUGUGUUUGUGCACAUGGGUGAAAUAUCUGUGGAAUCCAGGAGAGGGCAUUGGAAUCCCUGAGGCUAGAGUUAGAGGUAGUUGUGAGCAGAAGUGGAUGCUGGGAGCCAAACUCCUGUCCUCUGUGGGAGCUCUUAACUGCCGAGCCACCCUUCCAGAUCUCAAACUUUCAUUUUCAAAUCCUUGUAAACACACACACACACACACACACACACACACACACACACACACACACACACACACAUAUAUAUGGAACACAUAUAAGGAACAAUACAGAGAAUUCGGUGGCUUUUUUUUUUAAUUUAAUUUUCUCUAAUGGUGUCAUUUUACAAACCCAGGAUACAAUAUCACAGCAAACAAAACUGAUGCUGAUAUAUAUGUCAUGAUAUAGGACAUUUUCAGGGGCUGAGGAACAGUUCCGCUGCUAAAAAGCUUUCCUUGCAACCAUGAAGAUGUGCAAACAGAUGCCCCAGCAUGCAUGUAGAAAGCUGAGUGUGACAAUGUGAGUCUGUAAUCUGGGACCUAUACUUGGAUGUAGGGACAGAAGAUACCUAGAACUUAUUGACCAGUUUGUCUAGAUGAACCAAUGAGAUCCAGGUUUAGUGAGAGAUUAUCUCUAAAAGAAAAGGUGAAGAAUGAUUGAGGAAGGCAGCCGAUGUUGACCCCUGGCCUAAAUACACACAGAGACACACAGACACACAGACACAUACCCACUCACACACACAUGCACACACACACACACACACACACACACAGACAUGUACGCACACAGAGACACUCAUGUGAUAUAGAAUGCUUACGUUACUGCCUAUGCUGUGGUGUGGCUGCAGCACACUUUCAGGGUAGUUUAUGUCACUCGUUAGGAUGGGGUUUAUGACUAAAGAAGCUUCUAUGGACAUUCACACCCGGGUUUCUUUGUGGAUGCUAAGUUUUCAUUUCUGAGAUUAAUACCCAGGAUCGUCAUUGCUGGACUGUAUAGUAGUAACUGUUUAACUGUCAACAAAACUGCCAAACUUGUUUUCCAGGGUUCUAAAUGGGUUUUGUGUUGUACCCCCAGCAGCCACUGAGAGCUAUGAAGUUUCUUUUGCAUUGUCACAUUAAGCGUCAUUGUCGCCUGUCAAGCCUUCUGAGACCCUGUGGUGGUGCUGCCCUGUGGGUUUGAUUUGUAUUUCCCUAAUGACAAAUCAUACUCAACAUCCUCACAUACUUAUUAAAAGGCCUGGGUGUGUCUGAUUAAUGUCUCAUUAAUGUUUUUGUCACACGCUUUGUUCCCAGGCCCUGACCUUUAUGGAGAAAGUGCUAGGCACAGAGAGGAAGCUCAGCGGGGACUUCAAUACAACAGACUAAGCAAAGAAGCAGAGAGGUCCUUCUGAGCUGGUGUCACUUCUUGGGAAAAUAAUUCUGUUUAUGUAAGCACCUGUGUAACACAGCCUUACAAUGAUAAGGACUAUUGUUUUAUAUCCUUCCCAAGGUUCACUCUCUUUUACCUUAUAUGAUGUUAGGGGUUUCUGUAGGCAUCUUAAAGACAUCCUUACCUUGACAGAAGCCUCGUGACUUGGCUCGGAAGGCAGGAAGUAACAAUGCUAUCAGUUCUUUCUUCCUAUGUAUUUUCCCUCCUCAAAUGCUGUGCUACCUAGAAUACACAGGGAUCUAUCUGGCAGAGGUCUACACUUUCUUUCCUUCCUCCCUUUCCCAUCAUGUGUUUGGGUGAGCUAGGAGCCACUGGAAUGACUUUACAAGGUGCCAAAGCUCCUGGGAACUCCUGUUUGGCAGCAGAAAGGAGGGACGAAGUGAUGGCUCACGCUGGCUUUCUCUGUCUUCAGUGGAGGGACACCACAUGAUGAUCCAGAACUGUCCACCAUGCCUGCCUAGAAUGUGCUCAGAGAGUCACAAAUUUAGAGUGACAGAUAAUGAGAAAUCCCCAUUGAAAACAAAUUUAUCUGAAGGAUGGGUCAGAAAUCCAGCUACUCCUUACGUCAUUUCAAUGGCAGAGUUUUAUGUGUACUUAUUUAAAGCACAGAAAAACAAAACAAGGCAAAGCCCAGUUUUUCCUGCCCUGUUAACUUGUUUAUCAAUUGUAUCAUGUAAAAAUCCCAACUUGGAAGGGAUUUCUGGUUGGACCUUAAAUUGUUUGUCCACAAGCUCAUGGAGUAACACAGCUCUUGGAUUCAUUAACUCUUAUUUAUAAACUAAAAUUGUUUGGGAACAGGAAGCAUAACAUUUACUAAAAAGAACAUUGAAAUGCAUUUGUCUUUUUUAAUUAAAAAAAUACUAAGAAAUGAAGUCUGCGGAACACAAAAUCUUAAUAUCGCAGUAGGAUUUUCCCUCAUUAAAAAAUAUAUAUCAAACCAUUGUCUGAUUGAAACUAAACACAGUUAAACAUAUAUAGAUAUAAAUUAUAUAAUUUACAUUUAUUAUACUUAAUCCAGGUACACAUGCAAACACAUUUGUAUAUAUAAAUUAUGUAUGAAAAACUCAUAGCUAAAAUGUAUGUGGCUAUAUUUGAAACAGUGACAUCAGAGAUAGGCUUAAAACAUGUCUAAUUGCAUUACCAGCGUGUAUAAUCAGAGUUGGAACUACUGAUAGACUCUGCUGACAAGAAUUAUGGAAAGCAGCUGCUAAUUCAGGACUGUUCUAUUACACAUAUUACAGGGGAAGCGAGUCUGGAAAGUGGAUUUAGACUCUCAUAUUUUCACUUUUUUUCAGUUGAGUUUUUGUCAUUCAAAAAGCAUUAUUUCUUAAGCAGUUUCAUCAGGUAAAUUCUAGAAUAAACCAGUGCUCAUCAUUUCUGAUAAUGUCUUACGGCUAGUCACUUAUAUUUAGAUGAACAGGCUGCAUAGUAUGAAAUAUAAACAUGCGUAAUAUGAAAUAUGUAAUUUGUAAACAUACAAUGUGUCUACUUUCUCAUCUUCUAAGGGAAGAUUACAAAGAUGUUUCCUAACUGGUACUGAUUUCUAAUUGAUAUAGAAAAGUUAUCUAAAAUAUACUAUUUAAAAUACAGGAUAAAAGCUAGACUUUUCUCUUUGAAAGGCUUACAGCUCUGUAAACAAAGCUUUUAUGGCCCUAAAACAUUCAUGCUCAUAAUUUCUUUGAGCACUAAGUGGUGGUUGGAAUGAAAAUGGCUCCCGUAGGCUCAUAGGGAGUGGCUCUAUUAGGAGGUGUGGCCUUGUUGGAGGAAGUGUGUCACUAGGGGAGGGCUUUGAGGUUUCAAGGACUCAAAUCAGCCUCAGUGUCACUCUCUCUUCCCGCUGCCUGCCAAUCAUGAUGUAGAACUCUCAGCUCCUUCUCCAGCAGCACCAUGUCUGUCUGCAUUCCACCAUGUUUUCUACUAUGAUGAUAGUGGACUAGACCACUAAGUCAGCCCUAAUUAAAUGUUUCCCUUUAUAAGAAUUGCCUUGGUCAUGGUGUCUAUUCACAACAAUAGAAACACUAAGACACAUUGGCUCUCUAUGUUUUUAUCUAUUCGAUGCUGGGGUUUAAAUCCAGGGCCUUGUGUAUAGUAGGUAAACAAGCCAUCACUGAGUUAUACUUUCAAGCCCUUAGCUAAACAUUUGAAGAAUGGAAGGCUUUUUUUUUAAACCAUAAGAGCCUUAAAUGCUCUAUCUGAAAGUCUACUGUAGUGGGGAAGUACUUUCAACAAGGGUGCGUUCUAAGCAGCUACAGCAAAAUGCUUUUGAUGAGCAAACUCUUUCAAACCGAACAGCCUUGAUAUAAUAAAUUGACUUCUUAAAUCACAUGUUCCUGCUAAAAAAAACAAGAGUUAGGGGUUCAAUUUAGUUACUGCAAGUUUUAUUGGCUGCUUUGAACUGUGACCAAAACAAUGGAAAAUACUGAUUCUCUCAUUCCCACUUAAGUCUUUAAAUUGUCAUUAUUAUUAUUAUUAUUAUUAUUAUUAUUAUUAUUAUUAUUAUUUUACACAGUGUCUCAUCUAUCCCAGGCUAGUCUCACAAGAUAACAAUUUAGAAUUCCUGAUCCCAUUGGUCACCUCCCUAAAGCUACCACUCCUAGCUAUGUGGUUAAAUCCUUGACUUAGAGAUCAUUCAUGAAUUCAUUUAUAAUUAAUUAGAAUCUCCAAUUUCUUUAACUCCAGUGAAUCACUUGGCUCUUGAAAGUCUCUCUGUGGCUCAGUGCCUGUCAAGUCCAAGCAUCAGAAAAUUUGGACCCUGAGAUUAGUCCAUUUUAAGGUUAUUAAGCAUAUAUCCCAGCUCAGAGAAACUUCUCUGAGUGUGGAGCUACCCUAUCUGUUCAGGUAAGCUGGCCAACCAGCAAUUGAAUUUUGGGGUCUGAAUAUUCUAAAUCAUAUGAUUUAGGGCAUAGGGUAGAUGCUUUGGGAAGCUUCAUGAAGUACAACCUCAGUUUGUAUUCCUCUCCAAAGUAAGCCUCCGAAGAACAAAUGAAAAGCAGUACUGGUCACCAAUUGAGUUGUGUACCAAUGGUGGCAAUGAAAUGUGACUGUCUUGGAAGUCAGAGAAACAGGAGAACCCAAUGAGCACAUGGAGUCUCCUUGCAAAUGUGGAAGACAGCAUUUUCUUCCCCUCUUAGGAACCUAUGGGGUCUAUUUGUAAAUGAUUAUUCAAACGUGGAUAACAUCAUCAAAGAAAUUAACUUAUCGUAACCAGAGAGAUCAGGAGGGCAGAACAAGAAAGAACAGAUGGCCAGAGAUUGUUUCCAAGCAUAAAUCCAAAGGCUAGCUGUCCAAGAGGGACCCAAGGAAAGACUCUGAGGCUGUCACAGGGUGAACUAAAUUCCUUCACUCCUUCCUUCUGCUGGCACUCGGUUCUUACUGUGCUAAAUUCUUGAGAAGGCUCCAUGGGUUUACUGUAAUAAAUAACAACAAAAAAAGGAGACAGACAUCUUAGACGUACUGAAACUUUCAUUCUAAAAUCCAAAUACACUAAGGGAAUUCUAAUAAUUAGAGAAAUUAUUAUAAUAGCAAAGCAUUUUAUUCAAACAUAUGUGAAAACAACCCUGUUUAGUUUAUAAAAAUUGGCUUUGUACUCUCCACAAAGAACUGACAGAAAAAGAUGUAGUCUGUAUAUAGGAAGCUACUUCUAAAAAAAAGAAAGAAAAGAAAAGCAAGCAAGCCCAGCCAUCAAGCAAGAAAUACAGGAAAGAGAAAAGGAAAAAGAAAAGAGAGUAAAGAGAGAAAAUCAAACUUACUCUGAACUCUGGUACCAUCAUCCUCCUGAGUAGGUUAUAGUCUCCAUCUUUUAAAAUAUGGAUGCUAUAUUUUUUUAAAAAAAUGUUAUUAGGGUUUUUUUUGUUUCUUGUGUUUGGGGUUGAUUUUUUUGUUUAUGUCUAAUACUUCAUUUCUGAGAUUCAUGAGUUGUUUAAAAUUAAAUGCGGUCACUGCUUAUUUAAAUAAUGGAUGUUUUUUUAUUUGGGUAAAUUAUUUUACAUGGAAAAUGGAGCCCAGGAAAAUGAGAAACAAAUUGAUUCAGAUGAACUCCAAGUUCAUCGAAGAGACAGUGUCUCAAAAACUAGAAAGACAUCUGGCCUCCCUACCCAAAUGCACCUGUAAUAACAGGCAGAGAUACCUGAACAUGAAUACACCUAUAUAUAGGGACAUACAUACAAACAUGUACAUACACAUGCAUCACACACACACACACACACACACACACACACACACACUUUCACUCAUAGUGAAAAUGCAAAUAUUUUUCUUUGCCAUUAUUUCCUGAAUACCACCAUACUAUAAUGACUAAUCAUGUUACAUCUCCAUUUAUUAACUAUUAUAGACAAUCUUGAGAUGACAAGGGGAUGGGUGCAUUUCCUAUGCAAAUACUGCAUCAUCUUAUUUAAGGGAUUUGAGCAUCCACGUGUUUUGGUACCUGCAGGAGGUUCCAGAAUCAAUCCCCAUGGAUACUGAGGGAUGACUAUAGAUAGCAUUCAGAUAUGAUUUGAACUUUGUUUCUUUUAAACUUCCCAUUGCCUCUCUUAUUUUAAACUGAAGGAAAUGGAUUGGAAUUUAAACUGCUUACCUCUGAUACGAACUCAACCUAUAUAAAUCGGGGGGAUAAAAGGCAGCACUUGAUUCCAUAUCACACGGAGAAAAUGCAUAUAAUUUCUCCAAUUGAUUGUAAUGGAAAAAUUUCCUCCUUCUUUCCCUACUUUUCCCCAGAAGGAGUGGUGGUGAAGACAGUCAUACUCAAGCUGGAAACCUUCCCCUUCCCCUAACAAACCCCUUUCCUCUUAAAUACUCAACAGCAUCCUCCCUUCUCUUUAGAACCACGAACAUCCAUUCUUCUCUUCAUUUCCUCUUCUUUCUUUUUCCUUUACUUUUUUUUUGUUUGUUUGUUUAACCUUACUUAAGAACUCCUUGGUUGGCUAAUCCAACGUCAGUUUGACGUGAGCUAGCAUUAUCUGAAAGGAGAGAACCACAAUUGAGAAAAUUCUCCCAUAACAUCCAAAUAUAGAGCAUCUUUUCUUAAUUAAUGAUGGAUGGGGAGGGCACAGUCCAUUGUCAUCCCUAGGCUGGCAGUUCUGGGUUUUAAAAUAAACCAGGUCAAGCAAACUAUUAGGAGUUAGCAGGAAGCAACCCCCUUCCGUGGCCUCUACAUCAGCUCCUGCCACCAGCUCACUCCCAAUUUGAAUUCCUGUCUUGACCUCUCUUGAUGAAGAACAGUGUUGUGGAAAGGUGGGCCAAAUAAACCCUGACCUCCCCACGUUGCUUUGAUCAUGGUGUUCUGUCACAGCGACAGUCCCCCUGACUGGGACACUUAUUCUUGUACGGUUUCUUUGAAGCCCACACUCAUAUUCCCACUGGGCAGAUUGAUGCAGAUCCUUCUCACCUCCCACAGCUGGUUAGCUGAUGAGCUCAUCAUUCAACACACCUACAUCCCGGCUCAGUGGCCGAGCUCACAGUCGAAGGUUGUCAGUUCCUCUUAACGGUCAUGCGGGUCACCGGAAGCUGCUUCUGCUUUGUAUCAAGAGAGUCAAGAGAAUGCCAAGGGGUAGCAGGACAAGAGAACUAAAUCCAACAUUUGAAUAUGGUGUCCUUCAAAUGCACAUUGUUUUCUGAUCAUCUUAAAGUUGAAAAACAAAGCAAACAAACAAAUAAACAAAAAAAAUCCCAAGCAAUCAUUAACUUGAACCAUCAGAAGUCAGGACUAUCUGUCUCUUGAAAGAUAAAAGGAACAUCUCUGAGUCCUUUAGAUUUGAAUAGUCAUGGGCAGCUUUAGAAGCAACACUCUCUUGAUCUUGAGUUUCUAACCCAGGGAAGGAAAAAUAAUACCAGUUAUAAGAGAUUGUGCUCUGGCCACUGAUUCAUGGGCAACAAUGAUUAUUAUAUUGAAAUUUUCAAUGAUCCAAAUGGAGUCCUGAGAUACUUAUGAGUUUCAAAACUGGUUACAAGUUUAAAAAAAGUUACCAUCAUAAGGACCUUCUAGAGGCUGGAGACAAAGCUCAAUGGAUGGUUUUUGAGCAUAGAACUUGAGUUUAGAUUUCUAGAAUCAACGUAAAAGCAGGACACAGCAGUGUGUGAUCGUAACCUCAUACCUGGGCUGAGAUAGAUUCUGGAAACCUCUUGGAUAGCCACCUUAGAUGAAAUACUCAGCCCCAGUUCAGAGAGACACCAUCUCAAAGGUUCAGGUGGAGAAUAAUUGAGGAAGAGGUCUCACGGCUAUCUCUUGCCUCCACAUGCACCAGAACUGGUGAGCAACUGUGCACAUGCAGACACACGAAGGUUUAUAAGCACAAGAAAGACCUACCUACCGCUUAUCUAAUUAACAAGGCUGGCGUUGUGUGAGUCAGGGGGCAGGAGAGUGUUCUGUGUCCUCCUUGCAUCCUCACCGCCAUGCUUUCUCACCCCUUCUUGGAUACUUAAAGUGUUCUAAAUUAGGAACGGGAAUACAGAUAAAUAGAUCUUUUAAAAACACAUUUAUUGUUAUUAAUUCACAUAUCAUACAAUUUGCCCCUAAACUAUAAAGUUUUAGUAAGUUUUCAGUAUGCACAGCCCUAGCCUUGGUGUAUUUUAGAAUACUUUCAUCGGCCGAAGAGAAACCCCAUUCCCUUUAGCUGUCGCCUCCAGUUUCCUUUCGGUGUUCUUAGCCCUGUGCAAACACUAAUCUUCUGUCUCUGUCGACUUUUGCACCCUGGACAUUUCAUAUAAAUGGAAUAAUACAUGUAGUCUUUGGGGACAAGAGAAGGAGUGAUCCACACUGAUUGAAAUUUAUAUCGAGAAGGCAAAGACCCCCUUCUAUCUCUUCCAUGGGAUUUCGCUAGGAAGAGGAAGAAACCUCUUCAGUACUGGGGAGCUGAUUGGGAAGCAGAAAGUUAGACUGGCAAAGAACAGUGGUCCUCACUUUCUAGUUUGGUGGGGGCGACCCUGCCUGUCAGCACGAAAUGUCAAAGCUUCAAGAUGAUAAUUCAGAUGUUGGCAUCAGAAGAGAAGGACUCACCCAAGCGGCCUCAUGUGUGGAGGGAAACGAGCCCCGGGUCUUGUCUAUCAUAUUCAUAAAUACUGGAAAUGAGACUUAUAAUUAGACCUCACUUAACUGACAGCUCACCUUGCCUCCUCCCUGAGCAGCUUGCAGGACGAAAGCAUCACUUUCCUCCGUGGCGGCUUGUAGUGCAACGCCUUGGAACAAUGUGGCCCAGGCUAUUUGCCCAAUCAGGCUAGAUUUUGUGUCAUGUUGUGAAUGCAACAUGUUCGACAGCUUUCCCGUGGAGGGAAUAUCUUCUGCGAUGGGGAGCACAGACCGUCUUUCAUUAAAACCAUCAGAAAAUUUCAUCUGAAACUUCUGAGCAGCCAUGGGGAGGAAAACUCCUAAUGACAACAACAAAAUCCCAUUUCCACCAAAAUCCGCAUGGGAGCCCUGGGCAGGGUCCUCAGAGACGUGCCUGUUGGUGGAUAUCUGCUCCCACCUCCAUCCCUAAUGCCACAUUCGGAGACAACCGCUUUCUGUCCUCCAAAUGUUUAACUCAGAAAGCCUAUUGGACAGUGCGGCUCACAACUCGAGCAGCUCUCUUUUCAUUGGUUGUCUCCUAUGCCAAUCAUCUCUGGAUACACCCUCAGAGACACACUCAGGACUGUGCUAUGUUAAACUUCUCUGACAUCUCUCGAUACACUCGGGUUGACUAUUAAGACCAACCGUUACAAAUGGCAAUUAAGGACAGUUGUCAUCUUUAGAGGACAUGUGUCCAUUUUCAAGUCUCAUGUCUUCACAAGCCAGCACUGCCUCAGCAUCUCCUUUCAGAUCUUUCACAGCAUCCCAGAAGGAAGGAGCAGAUGCCGUGUGAAGAUCAUGCUGUCAUGGAUGUUGUGGAACAAUUUGGUUUUGAUGGAUGUCACUCCCUCACCGCUUCUCCAGGGAGACAACCUGAGACACUGCAGGGACCAGGGGGCCUCUUCUCAGUUGCUUCUUCAAUAUGGAUGUCUUGGCCCAAAGCAGGAGCCCUCCCACUGGAUGCUCUGUUUGCAGGAACAUUCUUCACCGUGGGUCAGAGGACCUUGCAUCAUGAGGACACCUUGUUUGUCAUUGCCACCACUGAUUCAGACAGCAUCACCCUUCCACUCUUCACCCACAGCAUCAGCAUCUGCUCCAGUGGCUGUGGCUUCUCAUGGGAGGCUUGAGUUCUUGAGUUCAUCAUCCAUUUCAAUGAGUUCCCAACAGCCAGUGUCUGGAAAGAAGAUAUCCAGCUUCAUCUUGACACAGGCAACCAACUCGGAGGCACCAUGAAGUAGGCGACUUCCAUUUUCUAAACCCAUCAUUUCUGAUAUUUUCAGUUGUGAGCCUGGCUUUUAAUGGCUGAGCCAUUUCUCCAGCUCAAAUGCGUCAUUUCUUAGAUAUUGAUAUAUUGCUGUACAGAAAGAAAUAAACUCUCUCUCUCUCUCUCUCUCUCUCUUUCUCUCUCUCUCCCCCCCCCCCCCGCCCUCUGUCCAGAUAAUUCCUGAUGAACAUAGAAAAAAAUAACUAAGGUGCAUAGGUAGAAAAUACAGAUAUUAGAAAAGGUCCCUGUUCUCAAAGGCAGACAUUUCGAAUAGCAUAUUAUAUAUUUAUAGGAAAAUAUCUAAAAAUGUAUCCUUGCAGAAAAAGGUGCGUCUAUGCCUGUGCACAUACUCAUAUACUUCUUUAUUCUUUCUUCUCUACCUUCCCUACCUCAGCUAGUAGUAGUGUGUCUGGGAGGAUACUCAUUUUAUCCUGAUAAAGUCUUCCCAGUAUUUAAUGAAUAGAUGCAUCACAGUUUAGGUCUCUGUUGCCUUUUAGAUAGAGUCUUAGGAAUAGUCUUAAUGCGAAAAAGAAAAGUGCGGGGUGGCGGUGUUUGGAAAAUUCCAGGUGAUGAGUGAAGGAAAAAGAAAACUCAAAGAGUGGAAACAUCUGACAAAAGUGCAAAUUUUAGAACAAUGGAGGCUCCCAAGCAUGUACUGGAGCCCGUCUUACUUUUACUUCAGAUUGCGGGGAUGUGGGCUCUGAAAUUCUAGCACAGAGCUGCAGUAGGGGCUUGAACUAGGUUCAGAAUGACCAGAGGGAAGGGAUCUUGGCAGCAGUUUCUAAUAUUUACUAGACUCGAGAAGCACAGAGGGAAGACAGGCCAUCUGGACAACAGUUACAUUUGUCAAGUCAAGAAAUGACCAAAACACAUGGUGGCAUCUUAUCGGCAGGAGCAGAGAGAGAGAGAGAGGCUGUAGCCAUCUAGGAUUCGCCAGUGUCGCUGCUGCAGAGUUACUGGAGAGGUCAUACGGUGGCUGCUUAAGGAGUUUGGAAACAGUGCUUAUCACUUAGAAGAGAGAGAACUUAAUUCAUGUUAUUUCACUGAGUCAGGUUAAGUGUGUGGGUGCCUGGUUCUCCCUCUCCCUCUCCCUCUCCCUCCCCCUCCCCCACUCUCUCUGUCUCUCUGUCUCUCUGUCUCUGUCUCUUUCUGUCUCUCCCCCACCCCCCCUCUCUGUGUGUGUGUGUGUGUGUGUGUGUGUGUGUGUAUGUCUGUGUGUGCAUGCCAGCAUGUGCGCUUGCCUACUUUUCUGUGUGCCUCUCCAUGUCUGUACAUAUCUGUGCAUAACAAUGAUGUGUUUUAAAAAUAAAAAAAAAAUAAAAAUAAACAGGUGAGGAGAUGCUCACAGAAUUUUCAGCUUCUCCUUGUCCACUGCCAGAUGCUGGGCUGGUACUUUACAUAGCAGUAUAUAUUGUCUCAUUUCUCCACCAACUGUGAAGUAGUCUAUCUUGUCCUCCCCGCUUUUGGCAUAUGCAUGUAUGUAUAGUGAAUACUCAUAUUUAUACGUGUGGGUGCAUGUGUGUGUUUAGGUGUAUGGGCAUGUGUGUGCACAUGCCUGUGGAGCGUGGUCCUCUAUCCCUUUCUGCCUUAUAUAGAGAGGCAGGAUCUCCCUGACCCUGCUUCCUCUAAUCUUGCAACCUAUUCAUUCCACUUCCAGGAAUUCUCCAGCUCAUCAUCCAGUGUUGGGAUUGCAAGUGACCUUCCACACCCAGCCUAUGUGGGUCCUGGAGAUACAAACUUGGGGCCCCACUUUGAUUUUUGAGCUGUCUCCCCAGCACCCUUUGUUAUUUUUUUAAAUCAAGACAUUCUCAUUGUGUAGUAAGGCUUUCAUGGAAAUUGUGAUGCUCUUCUCAAAUGCUUGAAGUAUAAGAUCACAGGACCACAACAAAAGGCCAAAUCUACAGCUAUUGAUAACCUCUGAGCUGCACAAGACCCUUGAGGCUAUGCGUAUUUGCCUCAAAAUCCAAGUCAUGGGGCUAGACAGAUGGCCUGGUUGUUAAGACCACUUGCUGCUCGUUCAGAGAACCAAAGUUUGAUUCCCAGCCACCUGUAACUCCAGCUGUGGGGAAUCUGAUUCUCUCUUCUGACCUCAGUGGAAACCACCACACCCCACAAGUAGAGACACACACUUAUAGACACACAAAUAAAAGUUAGACAGACAUAAACAACCCAUGUUUUUCUCUUUAUGUUAGAAGACUGUGAAGUAAUUGUUGGACUAUGACAGGUUAUUAAUCCUGGCGAGGUUUUACUAUGUGGGUAGAUUAUUAUGUGGGGACAACAAGGCUGAGAAUUGAAGAGGAAAUUGAUAAAAUCACUAUUUCUCCUUGCAUGUUCAAAAAGUAACACAGGAGGUAUGGGUUUGCAGACUCACUGGUGAGUCAGGAAUAGCUCAGGUUUUCUUCAAGGCAGAGAUUUGCUUUUUGAAAGAACUAUAUCCCACAGUAAGGACACAGCCUGAAGACAUGGCAGUGACCAGGGUGUGUGGGCGCUGGUGAAGGGGGUGUCCAAUUGGGACAGCGAACCAGAUUUAGAAAACAGAAGACUAGAAAAACCAGCCAAGACUUGUUUGGGAAAAGGAAGCUAGGCUGAAACAAAGGAAUGGGAGGGAAAGCUCCUUAGGGGACCUAGCAGGGUUUGGAAGGAAGAGGUUGAGACUCCAGAAAUAACCUGAUCAAGACAAACAAAUGCUUCUUGGUACAAAGAAGAGAUCUGGGAGUGGGGUGAGGUCAUGCAUUGGAAGAGGACUUGUCAUGGGUGGGACAAAGAGGUUGCACAUGUUCAGGGAAGCCACCCUCUUUUAUAUAAUAGACUCAGAAAAACUUUUGGAGGUAGUGGGGGGUGGAGGCUAUGGCAUUGGCAGUGCUGGAGAUUGAACUCAGGUUUGCUUUACCACCAAGCGGUAUCCUGAGUCCUCACGUUUUGUUAUAACGCUUUUGCAGUUUUUGUUCGUUUAGAAAGGGGUUUUACUAUAUAGUUUAGGCUGGCCUUAAACUUGCUGUGUAGCCCAGGCUGGCCUCAAACAUGUUCUUUCUCCCUCAGUUUCCCAGGUAUGUGCCAUUGCAAGAGCUACACCAUAAUUCUUGUCUGCACUUUGUCACAUGUGGACAGUCUCAAGGUGAUGACAGAGAGCCAAAACCGUUUGAAGUUGGCAAAAAUCACUACCAUAUGGAGAAGUUAGAGGACUCAAUUGUUUGAACUUAGGAGGAGAUGCCGGAGGGGGAACUUUGGUCUUGGUUUUCAGGUUUGAGAAGGUGUAAGACACAAAGCAGUUUGACAGUGCUGGCUCUCUCUAUGGAGACUAGAGAGAAUACAUCAAAUGCUCUGUGAUAUUGAACUUGAUAACAGAAGACUUCUCUGUCUCGCAACUAUACUACUUAGACCAGAAAUGACAAACAUUCAGUUCUAUGGAGAAUACAAUAGUAACAACUGUUCAAAGAGACAUGUGUUUAGGCUCUCUUAGUCAUUUAAGAAAUUAAGAAAAAAAAUUUCUUUCAUUUUAAUUUUCUUUCAUUUAAUUUCUUAAUUUUAAUUUUCCUUUUUUAAUUUUUAAAAUUUAAAUGUUACCUCUUUAGAUGUGGGCCUGGUUGUGAAGGUAAGAUGCUCAUGUAACUAUAUUUAGAAAGAUGCUAUUAGACUAAGUGAAUUCCACUCACUGAGAAUCGAUAAUUAUCAGAAGUCUCUAAGGGGGAAUCUGUUCAUGCAGGGUGUCUCUCUGGAAGAACUGAAAAAUCCUUCAGGCUCAUCUGAAUAUUUGCUUUCUGUGUAUCAGACAGGAUGGGGCUUGCUCUUGUGACCCAAACUAGCAGAGCUCGGUGGGCCACUUUCAACUCAGCCGUCAUUUCUCUCUCAUGUGGUCGGUCAUUUCCCAUAAGAUCUAUUUUUCAGUCCCAACAUAAUUCUGAUUAGUAGUAAAUAUUUUAAGAAAAAGCAUGCAUAUGAGUCAGAAGUAUACAUUCUGUUGUUUAAAUCUCUUAUUUUAAAGGAUUUAAAAAUGAAAUUUAUCUUUUAUGUCAUUUAAUGAAUAUUGCAUAUUCCUUAGAAACAAGCCCAAGGUGAUGAAGGACAAGGGUGUGGCUAGUGUGGAUGCAUUGAUGAUUGGGAGGAACUUGAGGUAGGAGAGUUGAAGUAGAAAUAAAUAGAGAUUUUAACAAAUUAACGGAAAUUGAGAUUUUUUUGAAACAAAUCUUGCUACCUAAGGAGUGGUUACUGAGUAUAUUUAGACAUAAAUAUCCACUAGGAUGUGUAGUUGAGGCAUGUCAUUAUAUAAAUUAUUCCUCAUUAAAACCAAGCUCUGUUGGUGCAUGGAGACUCAUAACUGCAAGUCUAGCACUUAGGACACUGAAGCAAGAAAAACACAAGUUUGGGGUCAGUCUGGGCUACACAGUGAUUCCCUUUCAAAUGGCCCACAUCUUUAAUAACAGCCCUGGAGAAGCAGGCGGAUCUCUGUAAGGCCAGCCUCAAAAUCUGACACCCUUAUAGACAUAUAUACAGUCACAACAUUAAUAUACAUAAAUUAAGAGUCCGUCUCCAAAAACAAACAUUAGGUAGGUAGAUAGAUAGGUACAUAGAUAGAUAGAUAGAUAGAUAGAUAGAUAGAUGAUAGAUAGAUAGAUGAUAGAUAGAUAGAUAGAUAGAUGAUAGAUAGAUAGAUAGAUAGAUAGAUAGAUAGAUAGAUAGAUAGAUAAUGAAAUACUGAAGACUACUCAUGAAAUGUAAUUUGUAUUCCUUUCCUCUCAGUUGGGCAUUUCUGCUUGUUAUGGUCUGUAGAUUGUAUCCUAGGUAUUCUGUACUUUUUGGCUAAUAGCCACUUAUCAGUGAGUACAUACCAUGCAUGUCCUUUUGGUCUCUGAGUUACCUCACUCAGGAUGAUAUUUUCUUGUUCCAUCCAUUUAACCAGAUACACUGAACCUAAUAGAAGAGAAAGUGGGAAAGAGCUUUGAACUCAUUGGCACAGGGGAAAUUUUUCUAAACAGAACACCAAUGGCUCAUGCUCUAAGACCAACAAUUGAUAAGGGGGACCUCAUGAACCUGAAAAGCUUCUGUAAAGCAAAAGACAUUGUCAAUAGGACAAAUCGGCAAUCUACAAAUUGGGAAAAACAUCUUCACUAAACCUACGUCUGACAGAGGACUGAUACCCACAAUAUAUAAAGAACUCAAGAAGUCAACCUCCAAAACCCCAAAUAACCCAAUUUAAAAAUGGAGUGCAGAACUAAACAGAGAAUUCACAUCAGAAGGAUCUCAAAUGGCUGAGAAACAAUUAAAGAAAUGUUCAAAGUCCUUAGUCAUCAGAGAAAUGCAAAUCAAAACAACCCUGGGAUUCCACUUCACACCAAUCAGAAUGAUUAAGAUAAAAAAUUCAAGUGACAGCAUAUGUUGACAUGAAUGUGGAGGGAGAGGAACACUCCUCCAUUGCUGGUGGGAUUGCAAACUGGUACAACCACUCUGGAAAUCAAUCUGGAGGUUCCUCAGAAAAAUUGGAAAAUACUUCUACCUGAAGACCUAGCUAUACCACUCUUGGGCAUAUCCAAAAGAUUCCCCACCAUACCAUAAGGACAUGUGCUCCACUAUGUUCAUAGCAGCUUUAUUUGUAAUAGCCAGAAACUGGAAACAACCCAGAUGUCCCUCAACCGAAAGAAUGGAUAUAGAAAAUGUUCUUCAUUUACACAAUGGAAUACUAUUCAGCUAUUAAAAUGAAGACAUAUUUUUAUAAACUCAUUUUUUGUUAAUGUAUAUGCAGUGUGUGUGUGUGUGUGUGUGUGUGUGUGUGUGCAUGUGUAUAUGUGUGUGGUCAUGAGUCUAUGUGGAUACAUAUGCCAUAUUCCCAGCUAAAUAAUUGUAAAGUCUUGGAAAAGGUCAUUUUCAGGGCUGGAGAGAUGGCUCAGUGGUUAAGAGCACUGGCUGCUCUUUCAAAGGACCCGAGUUCAAUUCCCAGCACUCAUGUGGCAGUUCAAAACUGUCUAUAACUUCUGUUCCAGGAGAUCUAAAACUCUUACACAGACAUACACGAAAAGUACCAAUUUACAUAACAUAAUAAAUUAUUUUUAAAAAGAAAAAGGUCGUUUUCUCCAAAUAAAUUGAUAUUAAACUGGAGAUGUGCGCGCGCACGCACACACACACACACACACACACACACACACACACACACACACACAGAGCAUGGGAGCAGUGUGAUGCAACACCAGUGAAUGAAGAGCCCUUUGGUUCAGUGCUGUGUAGGAGCAUGGGAAAGAAGGAGACGGUAUGAACAGGUGAUGUGAUAACCAGCAGUUGGUUGGCAAGGGCAAAUUAAUUAUGGAAUGUGAGAUUCUAGAAGACACGGCCAAAAGAGUUACUGCUUUCAGAGAGACAUUUCUAAUAUGAUAAAAUCUACAAUACAUUAAGAGCCAGAAAUUAGGAUCUCUGUCUUGAGACUUCCUCUCUGUGGUUUAAUCACUCUGGGUGUCUGUCUAGCUUAGACCUGAUAGGCUGAGCCAGCCCUUUUGCACCACAAUUUUAGUCUACCCAGGCUGUUAUAACAAAAUACCUACACUUACCUGUGGGUAUAAGGACAGAUGCUUAGAAUUUAAUUAGGAAUUGUGCUGGUUUAGUCAAGUGAUGGUUAUAGGAUUGCCUCCAAGAUCCAGGAUUUCACUAGCCCUAGGUAUUUGGCUAGGAUUCCAGUAUCAGACAUGAUUUCCCUCUUGUUGAGCAGGCCUUAAGUACAUUUAGUUGUUAGUUACCACUAGGGAAUAUAUGCCACUACUGUACCUUAGGAUUAGCACACCAUACUGGUAUCAACGUGUGCCUCACAGGAACCAGAGCUGGGUAGGACUGUUGGUGGCUUUCACAGUUUGGAAGUCUGCAUGGUGCAUUCUGGUACAGUGAAAGCUAGCUCUCAGGGAGAAGGUAUUUAGAUCAGCUUCAGCUCAGGGGACUCUAGGCCCUGUGUCUAAAAUGUCCUCAGCAGUAGGGCUUAUCUUUCACCUCUGGGGGCAACGGAGGGCAGAAGCAAUAGUUUGUAAUGUUUUGAGAGCCUCUUUGACAACCCCGACCAACAAUUCAACAGAUGGCUUCUCAAGUCUGGUGUUGAGAUUUUUGUUAGAUUGUCUUUGGUUCUUGGAAGGAACAUUGUCAGCACAGAUGAGAACAUUUCCUUUAACUCUCUGUGUAUUUUUAUUCACAGAUUAACAUGUAGUUUUAUUGAGGGAUAGAUAGUUAAUAGUGUGAUUCCUCAUGACUUUUCCAGGCAUCCUACUAUUAUUUUCCCUUUUUUUAUAUACUCUCCCUCUCCUCUCUCUAAGUUAGAACCCCUCAUUAGUUUUCCAUUCCCCAUAUCCAAUCACUUCAACUCCGCCAUUGCCCUCUGUGGCAUUUCCUGCACCCUGGCAAUGACCCCUUUUUACUUUCCUGGUUUCUACAGUUACUCCAGGUUCUGUCCUCACACCUGGAGAUUUGAAGCUAUUAGUCUCUGAUGAAAAAGGAUGAGAUGUUUGCCUUUCUGGCUUGGGUUACCUCACCCAAUAUGAUCUUUCCUGCUGAAUAGCACAUGUACAACAUUUUCAUUACCCAUUCAUCUUUGAAUAAUCGCAUUCAUAAGAGCAAAGUUCUCAUGCUCCAACCAUCUCCCUAAGGCCUCAUGUCUCCAUACCACAACAUUAAAGGGUUGGCUUUCACAAAAGAAUUUAAUGAAGAGGCAUCAACAUUGAAAAAUCUCACCAGUUUUGAGGUUUCUAUUUUGUCUUAUCCUUCGGUCCAUUGGAUUUGUUUAGUGAUUUUUUUUCCCCUAGCAAUUCAUAUUUUUUGUUUCUGAAUUUUUACAAAGUUAUAUUUAUCCUUAUAACUUCAGCCAACCCUGAACUUCUUAGUACAAUGUAUGAGAGCGCUAAGUAAUACAGAGACCAGACACUGCUUAUUGAUACCUGCAAACCUGAAUUCAGCUGGCAUCGGAGUGGCAUCAGCUACCCAUGCCUGGCUGACCCCACUGACCUGGCACCUAGCUCAUGAACAGACAUCUGGGACCAGGUAGUGACCACGGAGAGGUAGAAAUCAACAGUACCAACCUGACAGCUGACAGAGCAGAUGAACCAUUUGAGAGUAGGCAGGCCCUGAAGACGACAGGAAGCAGUAGUACAAAAGGAGAGGACAAGCCAGGAUACAGCUCUCACAAAAGAAUAAAUUCCUGAGUCCAGAGAAGCGCCAUUUUGUUUUCACAAUUUUUACACAGGUCAAGCAAAAAACUCCUUAGCUUGCUGAUUGGUGACAGAGGGAUGGUCUUCCAAAGCGUGCUUCCAGUUUUCUACUUAUUUUAGGUACAUCCUACCUUCUGACAUUUCCAGAACCUUCCCCAAAUUGUGUCAACAGCUGUCAAUUGAGUGUGCAGCACAGAAGUUUGAGGAGGGAGUUUUCCUAACAACUAUAAAAGAUUACACACGAGAGUUAAACCUGAUAUGUUUAGUAUGGUUCUCAUCUUCAUGAGUUUUACCUCCAGAUUCAAGGGAAGUGCUUCAAGUAUGUCCCACACAUCACUCGCUGAUUUUCUCCAGUUUCAAAUCAAAUUGUUCAUUUGUUCCAAUGCAUGGGUUAAUUAUAGUGUUAUGUUUUCACUUUCUAAUUUUCUCGAAAUUGUCUGUGACUCACCUGCAUUGUUAUCUCGUUUUAAUUUCUGAUCGUCUCAGUGUUUUCUUUAUUUUUUUAUCUUUUAUUCCUAUGACAUAUAUAGCCUGGUCUUAUGAGUGCUUUCGUGUGGUUUUCUCUGACUGCUGGUGUGUAAAUAACCCAUGACUGUAUUUAUUCAGAUCUCAGAGAAAACUGUAGAGGGAAGGGGAUAAAAAAAGACAAAGAUGUGAAGGGUGAAUCUUCCUCAAGUAGCUUUGGACAACCAGAAGAGAGAGACACAGACCUAAAAGAAACAAUUUAGUAGAAUAUGUGAUAUAAAUGAACACAUGACACAUAUAAAAUAAUAAAUGAUAACUAGGAAUAUUGUUUUCAUUUUAUUUUGCAGGUAUAAUUUUAUUUAACAAUAAAUAAACAAUAAAUAUAAGACAGUGCCAUUCCUGAUUUACAGAUGAGGUGUAGAGCGGUUAGAGGACUCUCUGGCAUUCAUGAUGCUAGUUGACUGUCGAGUUAAAUCUUCUACCUUUUAGUUAUCCAAGGAUCAUUUGGGUCCUAGAAGUCGUGUAGACAUGAUAGAGUGUAAUGUCCUUGCAUGUCAUAUAAAUAAGACUGCACAGGACAAGCUAACUUCUCAUAACUGGUUAGUCGAGGUGUCUAGGCCAGAACUCCGGCCAUAUAAAGUUUCCUUUUCUGUUUAUGGAAAUCUCACAGAAAACAACCACCCACUAUCUAGCUUUAUUCUUCUUAGUGUAGAUUCCAUCCCCAACUGGCUGGGCUGAUGUCAUUUCAGACUGAGCAGCAUCCCACUCCUCGGGAAGCCACCCUACUUCUACUCCAUGGGGCUCUGUGACUCUGUCAGUCAAAGCAGCUGCCCACUGCCUGAGUACGCAGACUGCAUAAGGUAUCUUGUAGCCACGAGGUAUUUUUCUAUUGUUUGCAAUCAUGUAAGCGAAUGGAUAAACAGUUUGACUUAAUGAUAAGAGUGAUCAUGAGAGCCGUGUUUACCAAAUAAAAGAUGCGAAGUGUGUCUUAGGAGUGGAUGAGCAAAACCUGGUCACUGUAAAGCAGAAAGAAAGGCAACAUGCUGCUCUGCCAGUGUCCCCUCGCUUCCUAGUUGUCCCCUGUCAUCUGAGAAAAAGAUGAUGUUUAGAAGUAAUGUCCCAUAUAGACUUAAAAAAAAAAACCAAAACACCCUGAUGGGUUGAGCCAAACAAGUCCACUCUGUGUGUGAAAUGGCCUCUGACACGCACGCCAAAAUUUUGCAGAGCCAGAGUGGACUGGGGAGAAAUAAAAUGGCGGCAGAGAGUCAAGACCCAUAUGUUAAUUGCGAAGAACAUUAUAGGACCGAGGGCAAACCCAGGAAUCCUAAUGUGGGGAGUGCCCUUACUCCUGGAAGAAAGUCAUGCAGUGGGAGGGACAGUGUGUUCAAAUGUCACUCUCCUUUGUUCAGUUAAAAUUAUGUGCUGGGGAUGUCAUGGGGGUGUAUUCAUUUGGACACCCUGGAGACAAGGGCUGAGAGCAAAUGGUGGUUUCUGUGGAAAUGCUCUGAGCUUACCAACA